AUUGAACGCUGGCGGCAGGCCUAACACAUGCAAGUCGAGCGGAUGAAGGGAGCUUGCUCCCUGAUUUAGCGGCGGACGGGUGAGUAAUGCCUAGGAAUCUGCCUGGUAGUGGGGGAUAACGUUCCGAAAGGAACGCUAAUACCGCAUACGUCCUACGGGAGAAAGCAGGGGACCUUCGGGCCUUGCGCUAUCAGAUGAGCCUAGGUCGGAUUAGCUAGUUGGUGAGGUAAUGGCUCACCAAGGCGACGAUCCGUAACUGGUCUGAGAGGAUGAUCAG
rnacentral:rRNA from 1 species